AGAGUUUGAUCCUGGCUCAGGACGAACGCUGACGGUGUGCUUUAGGCAUGCAAGUCGAACGAGAAAGCCCUUCGGGGUGAGUAAAGUGGCGAACGGGUGAGUAACACGUGGGCAACCUGCCCCUCGCAGGGGGACAACCGGAGGAAACUCCGGCUAAUACCCCGUACGCUCUCAGGGUCGCAUGGCCCUGUGAGGAAAGGUAGCUUCGGCCAUCCGGCGAGGGAUGGGCCCGCGGUGCAUUAGCUAGUUGGCGGGGUAACGGCCCACCAAGGCGACGACGCGUAACCGGACUGAGAGGUCGGCCGGUCACAUCGGGACUGAGACACUGCCCGGACUCCUACGGGGGGCUGCAGUAACGAAUCUUCCCCAAUGCACGAAAGUGUGAGGGAGCGACGCCGCGUGGAGGACCAAGUCCUUCGGGAUGUAAACUCCUGUCAGGGGUUACCAAGUUCUGAGGAGCCCCAGAGGAAGUGGCGGCUAACUCUGUGCCAGCAGCCGCGGUAAGACAGAGGCCACGAGCGUUAGGCGGAAUCACUGGGCUUAAAGCGUGUGUAGGCGGACCCGUAAGUGUCUUGUGAAAUCCCACGGCUCAACCGUGGAACUGCUGGGCAUACUGCGGGUCUUGAGCCGGCCAGGGGUCACCGGAACAAGCGGUGGAGCGGUGAAAUGCGUAGAUAUCGCUUGGAACGCCGACGGUGAAAACAGGUGACUGGGGCCGCGCUGACGCUGAGACACGAAAGCCAGGGGAGCGAACGGGAUUAGAUACCCCGGUAGUCC
rnacentral:rRNA from 1 species